rnacentral:rRNA from 1 species
GAUGAACGCUGGCGGCGUGCCUAAUACAUGCAAGUCGAGCGAACGGACGAGAAGCUUGCUUCUCUGAUGUUAGCGGCGGACGGGUGAGUAACACGUGGAUAACCUACCUAUAAGACUGGGAUAACUUCGGGAAACCGGAGCUAAUACCGGAUAAUAUUUUGAACCGCAUGGUUCAAAAGUGAAAGACGGUCUUGCUGUCACUUAUAGAUGGAUCCGCGCUGCAUUAGCUAGUUGGUAAGGUAACGGCUUACCAAGGCAACGAUGCAUAGCCGACCUGAGAGGGUGAUCGGCCACACUGGAACUGAGACACGGUCAAGACGACUACGGGAGGCAGCAGUAGGGAAUCUUCCGCAAUGGGCGAAAGCAUGACGGAGCAACGCCGCGUGAGUGAUGAAGGUCUUCGGAUCGUAAAACUCUGUUAUUAGGGAAGAACAGAUGUGUAAGUAACUGUGCACAUCUUGACGGUACCUAAUCAGAAAGCCACGGCUAACUACGUG